GGUGUGUAUAGCCCAGUCUCUGAAGAUCCCGCGUGAACCCAAGCCAGGGGAGUUUGAUAAGAUCAUCAUACGUCUGCUGGAGACGUCCAACGCCAGGGCUGUCAUUAUGUUCGCCAACGAGGACGACAUACGGCGUAUCUUGGACGCGGCCAAGCACAACAACCAGACUGGUCACUUCCUGUGGGUGGGGUCAGACAGCUGGGGCUCCAAGAUCUCUCCUGUGAUUGACCAGGAGCGGGUGGCUGAGGGAGCCGUUACCAUCCUGCCCAAACGAGCCUCCGUGGACGCGUUUGACCGGUACUUCCGGAGCCGCUCUCUGUCCAAC